rnacentral:rRNA from 1 species
AUGGAGAGAUAUAGGGAGCAUAAGAAGGACUUGCAUAUGGUGUUCAUUGACUUGGAGAAGGCCUAUGAUAAGAUACCGCGGAAUGUCAUGUGGUGGGCCUUGGAGAAACACAAAGUCCCAGCAAAGUACAUUACCCUCAUCAAGGACAUGUACAAUAAUGUUGUGACAACUGUUCGAACAAGUGAUGUCGACACCGAUGACUUCCCGAUUAAGAUAGGACUGCAUCAGGGGUCAGCUUUGAGCCCUUAUCUUUUUGCAUUGGUGAUGGAUGAGGUCACAAGGGGUAUACAAGGAGAUAUCCCAUGGUGUAUGCUCUUUGCGGAUGAUGUGGUGCUAGUUGACGAUAGUCGGAUGGGGGUAAAUAGGAAGUUAGAGUUAUGGAGACAAACCUUGGAAUCGAAAGGGUUUAGGCUUAGUAGAACUAAAACCGAGUACAUGAUGUGCGGUUUCAGUACUACUAGCUGUGAGGAGGAGGAGGUUAGCCUUGAUGGCCAGGUGGUACCUCGGAAGGACACCUUUCGGUAUUUGGGGUCAAUGUUGCAGGAGGAUGGGGGUAUUGAUGAAGAUGUGAACCAUCGAAUCAAAGCCGGAUGGAUGAAGUGGCGCCAAGCUUCUGGCAUUCUCUAUGACAAGAGAGUGCCACAAAAGCUAAAAGGCAAGUUCUACAGGACGGCGGUUCGACCCGCAAUGUUGUAUGGCGCGGAGUGUUGGCUGACUAAAAGGCGACAUGUUCAACAGUUAGGUGUGGCGGAGAUGCGUAUGUUGAGAUGGAUGUGUGGCCACACGAGGAAGGAUCGAGUCCGGAAUGAUGAUAUACGAGAUAGAGUUGGGGUAGCACCAAUUGAGGAGAAGCUUGUCCAACAUCGUUUGAGAUGGUUUGGGCAUAUUCAGCGCAGGCCUCCAGAAGCUCCAGUGCAUAGCGGACGGCUAAAGCGUGCGGAGAAUGUCAAGAGAGGGCGGGGUCGACCGAUUUUGACAUGGGAGGAGUCCGUUAAGAGAGACCUGAAGGAUUGGAGUAUCGACAAAGAGCUAGCUAUGGACAGGGGUGCGUGGAAGCUUGUUAUCCAUGUGCCAGAGCCAUGA